rnacentral:tRNA from 1 species
GCGGCCGUAGUUCAAUGGUAGAACGUCGGGUUGUGGUCCCGAUAACGCGGGUUCGAUCCCCGUCGGUCGCCCCA